rnacentral:rRNA from 1 species
CGACGUGGGGAACCUGCCCUAUACAGGGGAUAACAGCUGGAAACGGCUGCUAAUACCGCAUAAGCGCACAGAAUCGCAUGAUUCAGUGUGAAAAGCCCUGGCAGUAUAGGAUGGUCCCGCGUCUGAUUAGCUGGUUGGUGAGGUAACGGCUCACCAAGGCGACGAUCAGUAGCCGGCUUGAGAGAGUGAACGGCCACAUUGGGACUGAGACACGGCCCAA